rnacentral:lncRNA from 1 species
AGCAAAUCCGAACAGGCAAAGGCCUCACUCUCCAGUGCAGUCUGGGAGGACUGAUCAGGGAAGAACAGAUCAGGGUGAAGAACAGAAAGACCCCAAGGCAUCUCCCCAAGAUGACCACAGUUGUCCCUGAAGAAGCAGUCACAGCAAGCUCACUUCACAGGAACCAAGCUGUGGGCUGAUCCUACAGACUUGAAAAGACAACUCAAAAAGAUUGUCUGUGGGGUCAGAAACAGCUCUGGAGGGGUCUGCAGAAAUUACUUUCCCAAGUCUUUGGGCUGGAAGGAACGAACAGUGCCUGACCAAGGACUUUGAGCAGGAGAGAGAUGGGAGCAGAGAGGAGCCAAGGUCUACUAUUUUCACUUCUGUCAAUUAGAUCAAAGCCCUGCCCAGAAGCUUUGAGCGCCGCUGUCAAGUCCCAUUCCUCCCCUAAACCAUCCAGGUUCCAUCUGCCUUGAAGCCAAAGGAUCUUCUUAGAUUCCUCAAGAAAAAUUCAGGCCCCGAGUUUCUCCACCAGCACUCUCCUCUCCCCGAAGGAGUGGGUGGGCUGCAUUUCUCUUCAUAUUCUAUUCCAUUCCAGACCGUCUUGGACUACCAGCCUGUCCGCCACCCCUCGGGGCCCUCCCUCCUACUCUGCCCUUGCCCGCUGAGGUCCCAAGCUGAGGAGAUGAGCCGAGCAGUAAAAAGAGAGGAGGUUUGGAAAAGCAAUGUCCUCUCAGUCUUUAAUAGGUGGCCCCCCUGGGAACCUGCUGGAAGUGGAAGUUAAUAAGCUGAAGGUGGUCACAACCAAUCUCUGCCACACUCGCACCCUACCCCACCCCAAAUCAUUCCUUUUAAUUAAUAGUGGAAGACCUUUUUAAAAAUGUAACAUGAAUUGGCUAUUUCUUGAGGCAAACAAAAGGUGGCUCUGAAGCGAUAUAUUUGUACUCGUAUAAAUUCAUUAAAAUAGAAAGCUUAUAACCAUCCAGGUUUCACUGACAGCCCCAGUCCAUCUACAUGCAGAAAUGGUCCCUCCAAAGCCCUCUACGACAAUUAUUCUCACAGAUCGUCAUGAUAAACUGUAAGGGAAUAUACUAAGAAAGAGGGAAGAAGAGAGGAGGAGUCCAUUUUUAAUUAGUGGUUGGAAAUAGAGUAAAAAUUAGAGGGCCUUAGGUUUAAAACACAGAUGUGCAUUGUGAUCGUCUGAAGGAAGAGCUGUUGACAGAGAAAACAAGGUGGUGAACUAUGCCCUUGGCCUGUGACAGUUAGGUGAGGGUUGCUCACCGCAGAAGACAGACCGGUAGAGCCCAGCAGGAAAGAGGGUAUCAGGCUGGAAGAAGUGCAGUUUGGCCCUGGCGGAGUGGUGGAGUGGCUGGAGCGACUGCAGGAGGAGGAUAGAUCUGGAAGCAGGUCUGGGCUAUACUUUGGCCUCAGCCAGGGAGCCAGAGAAGGAAGGCUUGGGUUCGAGGGGGGAAAUCAUUCUCCCAAAUUGCUUUCUCAGAAGCGCCAAUUCAGAUCACCUGAAGACAGGGUCUGGGCCCCAUUACAGCAUGGUUCCCAAAUGGGAGUGUGCUUGGAAGCCUUGGUGAUUAAAGGGUGCUGACUAAAAGAGUCAAACUCUGUAAAAUAUUUGAAGAGAUUUAUUCUGAGCCAAAUAUGAGUGACCAUGGCCCAUGACACAGCCCUCAGGAGACCCUGAGAACAUGUGUUCAAGGUGGUCGGGGUACAGCUUGGUUUUAUAUGUUUUAGGAAGGCAUGAGACUCAAUCAAAGACAUUUUAAAAAUACAUUGGUUUGGUUCAGAAAGGUGAGACAACUCAAAGUGGGGGCUUCCAGGCUAUAGGUAAAUUUAAACAUUUUCUGACUGACAAUUGGUUGGGUUUAUCUGGAGACCUGGGAUUAAUGGAAAGGAAGGUUCAUGUUAAGAUACAGAACUGUGGGGACCAAGUUUUAUUGUGCAGAGGAAUCUCUCAGAUAGCAGACUUCAGAGAGAGAGAGAGCAGGUUGUAAAAUGUUUCUUAUCGGACCUAAAAGGGUACCUGGCUCUUAGUUGAUUAUCUCCUGGAUCUGGGAAGGAAGGAAGGAAAACAAAGGGGAAAGGAAAUAUUUCCUAUAGAAUAUGGAUUUUUCCCACAAGAGACUUUGCAGGACAAUUUCGAGAUAUGGCAAGGAGAUUUAUUUUGGGGUAAAACAUUUUGAUUUUCUUCCUUGUUAUGCCACAGUCAGAUUGGAAAGUCAGUCAUGAUAUACAGGGUCAGAUAAAAUCCGUCUGAUGAGAAUGUAUGGUUGGUAGGGCAUGACUCCCCAGACCCCUUAGAUAGGAAUCUGGGCAAGAUAAAAAAUCGGAGCUUAGUCCUCAAGGGAAGGGGCAGCAGCGCUGUUGGCGGGCUCACCAAGCAUCAGUACUGGAUCACCAGGCUUGGGAGAGUAGGGGUGUCAAGGCCCCAAGAGCAGGGAGGGCCUUGGCCCCACUAGGGGGGCAUCAGAAAGCAGGGAGCACUUGUAGUUCACCAUGAUUCCCCUCAAAGCCCUGGGCCAGCCUCCUGCAGGGAAGGCGGGCAGGAAGUCUUCCCCAUAGGGGCAGGCUUGCUUUUUUGGCCAGCCAUCCUCUUCAUAUGAAAAACAGCAUCUUGUCAUUUCUAGAUGUUUCUACUUUGGUUGACUCUUUAAUUUUUCUGCAGUUAAAAGCCUUAAAACAGCAAGGAAGCAGGGGACAGGAGGGGAGCCCAGAUCUCUCCCAAAGAAAAGGAGAAAGACUGAAUCCUUGAGGCCUGCCGUACAAAGGAGUGGUGGGUUGGAGGAGGGUAGGCAGAGACUAGGGUGGUCUGGGACUUUAAGUACAAGGCCCCGUGGAUUUCAUUGGGGGGCAAGCCAUGUGCAACAGGGAAGCUCAGGAACCGGGGGGUUUCGCACAGAGGUCUGGUGCUGUGAGGUACAGGGAAAGAAUUAGUGGAUCUGGACCAGUGGAACAUUGGUUUAGUGUAAUCUCUGAUUUGUGUUGAGUGAAUUUGAGUAUAGUCCAACCACCACCCCCCUACCCCAACUAAACCAUGUGCCCCUCAGGAGCUGGGACUCUUCUAUUUUCUAUUCCUUAUAGCAGGCUCAGUGCCUGACACACUACGUUGAAUUUUAUUUUAAACAUUUCAUUUACAUUAAAUGGUAUAUUUGCAAGUUC